UUAAAUCCUUAAUACAUUACUACAAUUUCCGUGUUUUAAUACUUGGUAUACAUUUACUAAUCUUAGGAGAUGGCCUCAUGGAUGACUAAGUAUGUUAAUGUGUUAUGUCGUCGUGGUGCACGCAACUUGAAUAUUAGCUUAUAGUAGUAGUAGUAAACUAGUAAUGCUUUGCACGCCAAAUACGAAAUCGAUGUUUCAGCGAAGAUAUAAGCUGGUCGAUGUUUGGCGUUACCGAAGUUUGAGAAUUCCUACAUUUGCUUCCUUUUCAUUUCAUUCCAGGUUUUCCAAAGUGGGUUUUGAGAUGAAGUAUUAAUUAUUGUAUGGUAUAGGUUCAGUGUUCUUUCUUUCAUAACAAGGAAACUUAAUUAUGAGGGAUGGAACAUUGAUCUUAGACUAUCCAAUGAUUUUUGCAAUGGAAAACUGGCUAGUUGUUCGUUGAUGAUCCAAGGAUCGAUUCUCGACCGAGACUGUAUUAUACUCCACGUAGGUAUACAAAACAAGUGGAGUAUUUUGAGUUUGAAUUGAAGGUUUGGAGCAUGGCUUCUUGGCUAACAGUUGUAAUCCUCAACCAGUAAAUCUGCUUCUAAGCUUGACCAAGAAGUUUGUCAGGGAGAACAUAAGAGGAAUCUUUAGCUGAUCA